rnacentral:rRNA from 1 species
AGAGUUUGAUCCUGGCUCAGGACGAACUCUGGCGGCGUGCCUAAUACAUGCAAGUAGAACGCUGAAGAGAGGAGCUUGCUCUUCUUGGAUGAGUUGCGAACGGGUGAGUAACGCGUAGGUAACCUGCCUUGUAGCGGGGGAUAACUAUUGGAAACGAUAGCUAAUACCGCAUAACAAUGGAUGACACAUGUCAUUUAUUUGAAAGGGGCAAUUGCUCCACUACAAGAUGGACCUGCGUUGUAUUAGCUAGUAGGUGAGGUAAUGGCUCACCUAGGCGACGAUACAUAGCCGACCUGAGAGGGUGAUCGGCCACACUGGGACUGAGACACGGCCCAGACUCCUACGGGAGGCAGCAGUAGGGAAUCUUCGGCAAUGGGGGCAACCCUGACCGAGCAACGCCGCGUGAGUGAAGAAGGUUUUCGGAUCGUAAAGCUCUGUUGUAAGUCAAGAACGGGUGUGAGAGUGGAAAGUUCACACUGUGACGGUAGCUUACCAGAAAGGGACGGCUAACUACGUGCCAGCAGCCGCGGUAAUACGUAGGUCCCGAGCGUUGUCCGGAUUUAUUGGGCGUAAAGCGAGCGCAGGCGGUUUGAUAAGUCUGAAGUUAAAGGCUGUGGCUCAACCAUAGUUCGCUUUGGAAACUGUCAAACUUGAGUGCAGAAGGGGAGAGUGGAAUUCCAUGUAUAGCGGUGAAAUGCGUAGAUAUAUGGAGGAACACCGGUGGCGAAAGCGGCUCUCUGGUCUGUAACUGACGCUGAGGCUCGAAAGCGUGGGGAGCGAACAGGAUUAGAUACCCUGGUAGUCCACGCCGUAAACGAUGGGUGCUAGGUGUUGGAUCCUUUCCGGGAUUCAGUGCCGCAGCUAACGCAUUAAGCACUCCGCCAGGGGAGUACGACCGCAAGGUUGAAACUCAAAGGAAUUGACGGGGGCCCGCACAAGCAGCGGAGCAUGUGGCUUAAUUCGAAGCAACGCGAAGAGCCUUACCAGGGCUUGACAUAUGGGUGAAGCGGGGGAGACCCCGUGGCCGAGAGGAGCCCAUACAGGUGGUGCAUGGCUGUCGUCAGCUCGUGUCGUGAGAUGUUGGGUUAAGUCCCGCAACGAGCGCAACCCCCGCCGCGUGUUGCCAUCGGGUGAUGCCGGGAACCCACGCGGGACCGCCGCCGUCAAGGCGGAGGAGGGCGGGGACGACGUCAAGUCAUCAUGCCCCUUAUGCCCUGGGCUGCACACGUGCUACAAUGGCCGGUACAGAGGGAUGCCACCCCGCGAGGGGGAGCGGAUCCCGGAAAGCCGGCCCCAGUUCGGAUUGGGGGCUGCAACCCGCCCCCAUGAAGUCGGAGUUGCUAGUAAUCGCGGAUCAGCAUGCCGCGGUGAAUGCGUUCCCGGGCCUUGCACUCACCGCCCGUCA